GCAGCAGCAGCAGCCAGGAAAGUUCUGGUCACUGCGCGCGGGGAGACCCCGGGGCUGCGGCGAGCCGAAGCUGCGUGCGGCGGGAGCCGGGAGCGCUGCGCUGCGGCCCCGGAGCCGCGGCUCGGAACACGGCCGGCGCCCGGUGAGGACACCCUCGGGCUCUUGUUCGCUGUGCUGGGGAGGAGGAGCAAUGUUUAUUUCUUCAAUCACAUUGAAACUCUGACCUGCAGUCAUCUCGAUGCAGUGGUCACAGAGGUCCUGUCAGCCAGCACAAGCCACUCUCUGUCCAGAUGCACCUGGAUGAACGUGGUGAAAGACCAGGCAGAGAUGCCAGCUUUGCCCCCAGCUUUGGCUGUUUUGCUGCUCCUAUAUCAGUGUUCUCCUGCUCUUCAGACAUAAUGAAAACUGCAAAAACAACGAAUGUGUUUUGCCUUUGGUUCUCACUGGAGAUUAGACCUGAUGGGAAACAAACUUUGGGCACGAGUGCCUCCAGGCUGUGUGACCUCUGGUUAUGACUUGCUGGGACUGGCCUCACGGCAGCAGGCAUUGUACAGCAGGCUGCUAAGGAGAUAAUUUGCCCAUGAAUGCCAUGGCAUUCUCCUUGGCAGGUACAGCCCAGCCUCUCUCUGGCACUGAAAUUUGAGUAUCUUCAAUUUAAUCGUCCAUCAGUUCUCACAGACUGAGCCUGAGCAUGCUCAGUGCCUCUCUUUGCCUGCCUGCUGAAGCUGACAGCUUAGAGCACACAAAUUCAGGUGCUAAGUAGCUUCUGGAGAAGUGCACAAGAUGUGAAGCUGAAUGAGAAGGAAGUUUGAAAUGACUUUUGGUUUUC